UACGUAGGUGGCAAGCGUUGUCCGGAUUUAUUGGGUUUAAAGGGUGCGUAGGCGGUCUAUUAAGUCAGUGGUGAAAUACUCCAGCUCAACUGGAGGGGUGCCAUUGAUACUGAUGGACUUGAGUCAAGUCGAGGUAGGCGGAAUUGACGGUGUAGCGGUGAAAUGCUUAGAUAUCGUCAAGAACACCAAUAGUGAAGACAGCUUACUAGGCUUAAAACUGACGCUGAGGCACGAAAAGUGUGGGGGAUCAAAACAGG
rnacentral:rRNA from 1 species